CUGGAACUAGACCUUUUUUUCCCUUUUUAAAUUACGGUGAAGAUGUGCAAAUUACUAAGGUUAUGUUUGAAAUGUAUUAGAAUUAUAUGAGGAUUUUCUAGGUUUGUAUCCUGCUGUGGAGGGAGGUUUGGUUGUUAUUGCUAAGUCAUUGAAAAGUCGCAGCAUAGACUCCUAGUAAUCUAAAGAAAAUCUGUGUAGUGAUGAUAUGGAUGCUGUUGAGUGCUUAUUUUUGCUGAUUUUCUGUGAUUUAGAUUUCUUAUUUUCUUGAUGUUGCAUCGCUGUGAAUUAACGUGCAAAUCUUCCUUGUGAUAGUUGUCAAAGAAGUCCCAACAGGAUUGAAACUUUACAAGAGCAAGUCGAUGGUUACACUGGGGUCAAUAUCCUAUGCAUUGAAUCUCAAACUUGAUGUGUCCCCUCUAAUUGUCUUAGCCUCCCACGGACCAUGUUGUUACUAAGUGCGCCUCUCCCAUAUUUCCCUUCCCCAAGUGGGAAUUUUUGGUUGACCUUGCAAACCUGAUCGGACUGCAUUUCAUGGCCAUGCUCUCAAAAGGAACUCUUGGCGCCUGAAAUUUCAUACCAAAUUGUUCUGCUCAAUGAGGGUAUUUAGAUUCAGGUGGUGGUUUGUUUGCAGAUUUUGGCAGGGAUAUAUUGCUUUCGUCUGGACUCCUGGGUAAAGCCUGGUAACGAGUUUGUUUUGACGAGUAACUUGCGAGAGCUUGGCAGGUAAGAUGUGCUUUAUCAGAACAUGAUGUUGCUGUAAAGGGGUGAUAGAACCUUUGCAGGAGCUAUGAAGAGAACUUCGCUGGAAUACUCUUUCCUUUCAUCCAACCUUGUAGCCAUUCUAUGCUAUGCUAUCCUGUAUGCUGUGUUGCUUAAAAGUGUUACUACAUACCCACCACUUCAGUGGUCAAUUUCAAGUUUCCCUCCCGAGUUCCUCAUCCUUGAGGCGGUCAUAGUCAGAAACAGCAACAGCCCACCCAGAUUCAAAUGUGACAUCCAGGACAUAGCAUGAAAACCAAGACAAAGCAGGAAAGCAACAUGGGGGUAGAUCCCAAGAUCCUAAACAACAAAUUAAAGGGAAAGAAAAGUAGAAGGCUCGCAAGACGAAAGACCGGAAAUAGCUGCUCCUAUUCAUGGUCCUGGCUACACAAUCAGCUGUGAGAUACUGAUAGUGCUGAUCGGAUGACAUCUUCUUGAAGGGCAUCUUGGUAAGGCUGCUUGCAGGCCUGCAAUACCUUAUUUAUUGACUGCACAUAGGAAAGCCAAGAAGCAGACCAAUAUGGAGAAGCCAAGCUCGCUUCUGUCUCCAAACACAAGAAAUUCCUUUUUGUCCGAGCUACAGCUUGUCAUCAAGAGGGGAAUGAGAGAGAUAGGAAGCCAAUAGGGUGGAUGCCAUUACAUUGUUUCGCAGUUGCUGCACAGCAAUAACGCCGUUAUUGGACAAGUUCUCCGUCAUAGCGUGGGCCCUGAAGCAGGCAAUUGACGACAUUGAUGCCAAUAAGAGUCUUGUUGGGGUGCUUCAGAAUUCGAUAGAGGAGCAGUAUGUGAUGGUACCAUAAUGCCUACGUUAGAGUAAGGUCUGAAGGAACUAAUACGUAAUCAACAACUUUUCCCUCCAUUGCUAUAAAAAUGUGUAGGGAUCGUUUACCCUUUGCUGUACAACGGACCCUUAUGUCUGUUCUCGAAGGGCGGAGACGAAAGACAGAGAGAUAGAGUCCAAGUGUAAUACUGGUGUACGUGUGUAUAUGUACUAACUACACAUUUUUCAUGUUUUCUUUGUGAGAACUGUAUAUAAGUCUCACACAUACGUGGGGACGUAAACCAAUCCAUCACAUGAAAUCAAAGAAUCAAGCAACCAAUUGAAUAGAAUUUAGAUCA